ACGGUCUGGAAAGUCCGACGGUACAGGGUGAUAGUCCCGUACACCAAAAUGCACAGGCUGUGAACUCGAAGAGUAGGGCGGGACACGUGGUAUCCUGUCUGAAUAUGGGGGGACCAUCCUCCAAGGCUAAAUACUCCUGACUGACCGAUAGUGAACCAGUACCGUGAGGGAAAGGCGAAAAGAACCCCGGCGAGGGGAGUGAAAAAGAACCUGAAACCGUGUACGUACAAGCAGUGGGAGCACCUUCGGGUGUGACUGCGUACCUUUUGUAUAAUGGGUCAGCGACUUAUAUUCUGUAGCAAGGUUAACCGUAUAGGGGAGCCGCAGGGAAACCGAGUCUUAACUGGGCGUUAAGUUGCAGGGUAUAGACCCGAAACCCGGUGAUCUAGCCAUGGGCAGGUUGAAGGUUGGGUAACACUAACUGGAGGACCGAACCGACUAAUGUUGAAAAAUUAGCGGAUGACUUGUGGCUGGGGGUGAAAGGCCAAUCAAACCGGGAGAUAGCUGGUUCUCCCCGAAAGCU
rnacentral:rRNA from 1 species